AAAUCGUGAAUCGUAUAAUACAAAUCUGAUGCUCUUUCCAUUAACAAUGAACUAUAGACAUCAAGACAUACAAUCCGUGCCUAAUUUUUUUGUCAAUGUUUUCUUAAAAGCUUGUCUGUUUUUUUUGUAAACCGUUGAUUGUUUAGGUAGUUUAACUUGUUCUGACUUAUUAAUUUUAAUUUUUGAUAAGAAGGGCUGAAACUAAUCCUAGUUCACUUAAUAAAAUGUUAUUCUUUUAUACUUACUAAUUUUCUUUUCUGAAACGAAUUUUCUUUUCUAAAACGAAUGGAUGAAAAUAAUUCAAGUUCACCUAACUAGAAAAGGUUGGAAAAAAAAACAUACAAGCUCUUCAGAAGUCGGUGUGUGUCAGUUGGAAAAACUCAGCCAUCGUGGCUCUUUCGUUUGUCUUUUUUCCAACAAAAAAAAAUCUUUAUAUGUAUCAUAAUUUAUCUGUUCUCCUUCAAAAAGAAAAAAAAAAAGUUCCUCUGUUCAUCUCCAAACCCACAACCACCCCUUUUUAUCCGUUCUGUCAUAUUUAGGGUUUAUAAGUUUUGGGUUCUUUACACUCUUGUUAAUUUGAAGUUUUGGGUUCAUACACAUCAGUUGAUUAAAUCUUUUGUGUGUGUUCUUACAUUUGAAGGUUCUUUACAAUGUAAGACUCAACUUGAUUUUGGUAAUGCUUUUUAUAUGUUUGUUUACUGUUGAUUUGAAUUUCUUUGUGUGUUCUUAUAAGAGAAUCACUGUAAAAAUCAAUGUGUAGCUGUAUUGUUUGUAUUGCUUCUCAUACUACUCAGUAAGAGAAGAUAAUGUAGAACUGUUUUCAUCAGUAUGUUCAUUUAGGUGUUGGAUUUUGCCUUUUUUUUUUCUUUUUCUUUUUUAAGUUUUAGUGCUUCAUUUCAUAUGCAUGAGUUUUCAUCAGUUACAAAUUUAGGGGGGUUUUUUUUUUGGUACUUCAAUUAUUCUUAAAAAAAGUGAGUUUCCGUAGAUCUGAGUUUAUUCUACUUUUUCAUCAUCUUACAAUGGAUUUUAAUCCAAGCAAUCUUACUCUACCGAAGCUAAGUCCAGAGGCGGAAGCUAAAUAUGAACAUUCUCAUGAUGAGUUUGAUGAAUUCGUGUUAGGUCAUACUGGGUUGUACUGUACAACUGCAAAACGCAUGAGCAUGGAUGCCAUUACGCCGGAGGAAACCUAUUCUCGUUUGAUUGAAGAACAUGUUUUCUUACGUGAACAUCUAAGCCAGAUGCAAGCAGCAUCAAAUAAAAAAGAUACAGUAAUCUAACUUAACUUUGUUGCAUAUUUAUCAAUUCAAAUUGUAUAUUAAAUUGAUUUUUUAAUCGAAUAUAUUUAAAAUUAUACCA